UGCAUCUCUCCCCUCUCUCCCCCCUUUUCCUGUGCCAUCCGUCUCUCUCUCCCCCGUCUGCAUCUCCCAAAGCAUUCUUGAAGUUGACAUUGUAGUGUGGCACCACUCAAGCGUAAAUAUUCAUCUCUUAACGAGUUCCUGGAGAAAUCAGUGGCCACUUCCUUUAAGGAGUUUUGAUAUGAGCUACACGCAUACUAAAAGGAGUAUCUAGAACAACCAAUGGCUCAUAGGAAAGCAAAUAAGCCAAAAGAAGUCUUCACUAGACUGAUUGGGAUCAUUUGUGUGAUUAUUGGGAAAGUGGGUGAUUUCAGGUGCAAUAUUUAGUUUCACAGAUCUUUUAUUCAAUGUCAGGCAAUAGGGGUAAGUAAGAAGCAAAAUAGAUGCAUUUCGGGAGACUGGAUAGAAUUCAGCCAUAAAAGGAUACACAUUACAAGGAUAUCAAAGGCUGGAUCCAUCUUGUGGCUGAGGAGAAAUAUAAGGAGAUGAUAGACGUACAAAUCACUCAAGAGACAUAUGUUGACGGAGAAGUGAGGAGAUUCAAGGAGGAGAUUUGCCAGGUGCUACUGCUAAAAUAAGCAGCCUUAGAGUGCCCACUACUUACCCGUCUUCUGUCUUCAUCGCCUGAUCAUGAGUCAACUGAUUAUUAGUUUAGAGUUAUCUUCAUGGUUGAUUCUCUAUUAUAGCUUAUGUUACUUCUGGACUACACUAAUCUUCUCAUAUUAUGGAACAUGAUUAGGCUUUUUAUUGCCUAUGCUACCAUUUUGGACUAUAUGUUUAUGUAGUUACUCAUAUUUUGGAAGUUGAAUUGACUUGUCUUUGAUAUAAUAUAUUAUUUUGUCUUA